GACGAACGCUGGCGGCGUGCUUAACACAUGCAAGUCGAACGGAAAGGUCCUGCUUUUGUGGGGUGCUCGAUUGGCGAACGGGUGAGUAACACGUGAGUAACCUGCCCUUGACUUUGGGAUAACUUCAGGAAACUGGGGCUAAUACCGGAUAGGAGCUCCUGCUGCAUGGUGGGGGUUGGAAAGUUUCGGCGGUUGGGGAUGGACUCGCGGCUUAUCAGCUUGUUGGUGGGGUAGUGGCUUACCAAGGCUUUGACGGGUAGCCGGCCUGAGAGGGUGACCGGCCACAUUGGGACUGAGAUACGGCCCAGACUCCUACGGGAGGCAGAAGUGGGGAAUAUUGCACAAUGGGCGGAAGCCUGAUGCAGCAACGCCGCGUGCGGGAUGACGGCCUUCGGGUUGUAAACCGCUUUCGCCUGUGACGAAGCGUGAGUGACGGUAAUGGGUAAAGAAGCACCGGCUAACUACGUG
rnacentral:rRNA from 1 species